UACGGAGGGUAAAAGCGUUGCUCGGAAUCAUUGGGCGUAAAGCGCACGUAGGCGGCUUGUUAAGUCGGAUGUGAAAGCCCUCGGCUCAACCGAGGAAGUGCAUUCGAAACUGGCAGACUUGAGUACGGGAGAGGGUUGCGGAAUUCUCGGUGUAGAGGUGAAAUUCGUAGAUAUCGGGAGGAACACCUGUGGCGAAGGCGGCAACCUGGACCGAUACUGACGCUGAGGUGCGAAAGCGUGGGGAGCAAACAGG
rnacentral:rRNA from 1 species